GCACUGCUGAAGAGUCCCAUAAUAAGACGAGACGGCCUUCCAGUGC
rnacentral:hammerhead_ribozyme from 1 species